rnacentral:rRNA from 1 species
CAAUAGCGUAUAUUAAAGUUGCUGCAGUUAAAAAGCUCGUAGUUGCAUUUCCGAGGCAAGGGAUUAGUCCGACCUUUGGUGGGUAUUUAAUCCUCUUGCCUCGUCCUUGAGUGGUGCUUCUUGGUAUUAAGUUAUCGAGGAGAUAGCCGCUCAUCGUUUACUGUGAGAAAAUUGGAGUGUUCAAAGCAGGCUUAUGCCGUUGAAUAUAUUAGCAUGGAAUAAUAAGAUAGGACCUCGGUACUAUUUUGUUGGUUUGAGAACCAAGGUAAUGAUGAAUAGGGACAGUUGGGGGUAUUCGUAUUCAGUUGUCAGAGGUGAAAUUCUUAGAUUUACGGAAGACGAACUACUGCGAAAGCAUUUACCAAGGAUGUUUUCAUUAA